AGAGUUUGAUCCUGGCUCAGGAUGAACGCUGGCGGCGUGCUUAACACAUGCAAGUCGAACGAUCCUUCGGGAUAGUGGCGGACGGGUGAGUAACGCGUGGGAAUCUGCCCUCAGGAGGGGGAUAACGGCUGGAAACGGCCGCUAAUACCCCAUAUGCCGAGAGGUGAAAUGAAUUUCGCCUGAGGAUGAGCCCGCGUCUGAUUAGCUAGUUGGUGGGGUAAAGGCCUACCAAGGCAACGAUCAGUAGCUGGUCUGAGAGGAUGAUCAGCCACACUGGGUCUGAGACACGGCCCAGACUCCUACGGGAGGCAGCAGUGGGGAAUUUUCCGCAAUGGGCGAAAGCCUGACGGAGCAACGCCGCGUGAGGGAUGAAGGCCUCUGGGCUGUAAACCUCUUUUCUCAAGGAAGAAGACCUGACGGUACUUGAGGAAUAAGCCACGGCUAAUUCCGUGCCAGCAGCCGCGGUAAUACGGGAGUGGCAAGCGUUAUCCGGAAUUAUUGGGCGUAAAGCGUCCGCAGGCGGCCUUGUAAGUCUGUUGUUAAAGCGUGGAGCUCAACUCCAUUUAAGCAAUGGAAACUACAAGGCUGGAGUGUGGUAGGGGCAGAGGGAAUUCCCGGUGUAGCGGUGAAAUGCGUAGAUAUCGGGAAGAACACCAGUGGCGAAGGCGCUCUGCUGGGCCAUAACUGACGCUCAUGGACGAAAGCCAGGGGAGCGAAAGGGAUUAGAUACCCCUGUAGUCCCGGCCGUAAACGAUGAACACUAGGUGUCGGGGGAAUCGACCCCCUCGGUGUCGUAGCCAACGCGUUAAGUGUUCCGCCUGGGGAGUACGCACGCAAGUGUGAAACUCAAAGGAAUUGACGGGGGCCCGCACAAGCGGUGGAGUAUGUGGUUUAAUUCGACGCAACGCGAAGAACCUUACCAGGGUUUGACAUCCUGCGAACCCCUGAGAAAUCGGGGGGUGCCUUCGGGAGCGCAGAGACAGGUGGUGCAUGGCUGUCGUCAGCUCGUGUCGUGAGAUGUUGGGUUAAGUCCCGCAACGAGCGCAACCCACGUCUUUAGUUGCCAGCAUUCAGUUGGGCACUCUAGAGAGACCGCCGGUGAUAAACCGGAGGAAGGUGUGGAUGACGUCAAGUCAUCAUGCCCCUUACAUCCUGGGCUACACACGUACUACAAUGCUACGGACAAAGGGCAGCAAGCUCGCGAGAGUUAGCAAAUCCCAUAAACCGUGGCUCAGUUCAGAUCGUAGGCUGCAACUCGCCUACGUGAAGGAGGAAUCGCUAGUAAUCGCAGGUCAGCAUACUGCGGUGAAUACGUUCCCGGGCCUUGUACACACCGCCCGUCACACCAUGGAAGUUGGCCAUGCCCGAAGUCG
rnacentral:rRNA from 1 species